AACAAGAGGGGAGGCUAACAGUCUUAAAUACAUGUUACCUUCCAUUAAUGGGUAGUGAACCCCACAUGGCUUUUGCCUCACAUGGCAACCCUGGUAUGUUAGUCAAUGGCUAUGCAGCCCCCUCACUCCAGUCUACAUUAUUAUUAUCAAAGUGCUCGAACUCUGCUUUUCCUCCUGUUGAUUUCCUCACUGAUUACAUGACACAGUAAUGCAGUGACCUGAGAUAGUGAGGAAAAAAAAGUAUUUGAUCCCCUGCUGAUUUUGAACGUUUGCACACUGACAAAGAAAUGAUCAGUCUAUAAUUUUAAUGGCAGGUGUAUUUUAGCAGUGAGAGACAGAAUAACAAAAAAAGAAUCCAGAAAAACACAUGUCAAGAAAGUUAUAAAUUGAUUUGCAUGUCAAUGAGUGAAAUAAGUAUUUGAUCCCCUAUCAAUCAGCAAGAUUUCUGGCUCCCAGCUCUCUUUUAUACAGGCAACAAGGUGAGAUUAGGAGCACUCUCUUAAAGUGAGUGCUCCUAAUCUCAGUUUACCUGUAUAAAAGACACUUGUCCACAUAAGCAAUCAAUCAAUUCCAAACUCUCCACCAUGGCCAAGACCAAAGAGCUGUCCAAGGAGGUCAGGGACAAGAUUGUAGACAUACACAACUCUGGAAUGGGCUACAAGACCAUCGCCAAGCAGCAUGGUG